rnacentral:ncRNA from 1 species
GUAAGUAUAAAACUGUCUCAGUGAAACUGAGAAUGGCUCAUUAAACCAGUAACGGUUCCUUUGAUUAAUCCUACAAGGAUAACUGUGGUAAUUCUAGAGCUAAUACAUGCGGAAGAAGCGCCGACCUCACGUUCUGGCGUGCAUUUAUCAGACCAAGACCAACCCGGGGUUCGCCCCGGUCCCUUUGGUGACUCUGGAUAACCCAGCCGAUCGCACGGUCUUCGCACCGGCGACAGAUCAUUCGAUGGUAGGUUCUGUGCCUACCAUUGUGGCAACGGGUGACGGGGAAUCAGGGUUCGGUUCCGGAG